GCAUUAAUGGGGUAGUGGUAACCUGGGUCGUUGCCAUCAUGAUGAUCGACGAAUUAUCUUUCGACCCGCCGGGGGUUCGAUUCCCUCUUAAUGCA